GGCGGAGUUGGUUGGAAUUACCUGCCUUCUAAGCAGGUUGUCGCAGGUUCGAUUCCUGCAGGGGUCGCCA
rnacentral:tRNA from 3 species